UGGCGGAUGCUUACACAUGCAAGUCGUACGGGCAGCUUCGGCUGUCAGUGGCGGACGGGUGAGUAACGCGUAGGAACGUGUCCUGUGGUGGGGGAUAACGCUGGGAAACUGGCGCUAAUACCGCAUAUGGCCUGAGGGUCAAAGCCGUGAGGCGUCAUGGGAGCGGCCUGCGUCCGAUUAGGUAGUUGGUGGGGUAAAGGCCUACCAAGCCUGCGAUCGGUAGCUGGUCUGAGAGGAUGAUCAGCCACACUGGGACUGAGACACGGCCCAGACUCCUACGGGAGGCAGCAGUGGGGAAUAUUGGACAAUGGGCGAAAGCCUGAUCCAGCAAUUCCGCGUGGGUGAAGAAGGUCUUCGGAUUGUAAAGCCCUUUCGGCAGGGACGAUGAUGACGGUACCUGCAGAAGAAGCCCCGGCUAACUUCGUGCCAGCAGCCGCGGUAAU
rnacentral:rRNA from 1 species